rnacentral:rRNA from 1 species
UACGUAGGGCGCAAGCGUUGUCCGGAAUUAUUGGGCGUAAAGAGCUCGUAGGCGGUUUGUCGCGUCUGCUGUGAAAACCUAAGGCUCAACCUUGGGCUUGCAGUGGGUACGGGCAGACUAGAGUGUGGUAGGGGAGACUGGAAUUCCUGGUGUAGCGGUGGAAUGCGCAGAUAUCAGGAGGAACACCGAUGGCGAAGGCAGGUCUCUGGGCCACUACUGA